rnacentral:tRNA from 1 species
GGCUCCGUGGUUUAGUUGGUUAAGCACCGAAAUAUAAGUCGGGGAUCGGGAAUUCAAAUCUCUCCGGUGCCU